rnacentral:rRNA from 1 species
GACGAACGCUGGCGGCGUGCCUAAUACAUGCAAGUCGAGCGCAGGAAACUGACGGAACUCUUCGGAGGGAAGGCAGUGGAAUGAGCGGCGGACGGGUGAGUAACACGUAAGGAACCUGCCUCAAGGAUUGGGAUAACUCCGAGAAAUCGGAGCUAAUACCGGAUAGUUCAUCGGACCGCAUGGUCCGUUGAUGAAAGGCGCUUCGGCGUCACCUUGAGAUGGCCUUGCGGUGCAUUAGCUAGUUGGUGGGGUAACGGACCACCAAGGCGACGAUGCAUAGCCGACCUGAGAGGGUGAUCGGCCACACUGGGACUGAGACACGGACCAGACUCCUACGGGAGGCAGCAGUAGGGAAUCUUCCACAAUGGACGAAAGUCUGAUGGAGCAACGCCGCGUGAGUGAUGAAGGUUUUCGGAUCGUAAAACUCUGUUGUAAGGGAAGAACACGUACGAGAGGGAAUGCUCGUACCUUGACGGUACCCUACGAGAAAGCCACGGCUAACUACGUGCCAGCAGCCGCCGCGGUAA